rnacentral:rRNA from 1 species
UCCUACGGGGCGCAGCAGUGGGGAAUAUUGCACAAUGGGGGAAACCCUGAUGCAGCAACGCCGCGUGAGUGAAGAAGGUUUUCGGAUUGUAAAGCUCUGUUAGCAGGGAAGAGGAAGGACGGUACCUGACUAAGAAGCCCCGGCUAACUACGUGCCAGCAGCCGCGGUAAUACGUAGGGGGCAAGCGUUAUUCGGAUUCACUGGGCGUAAAGGGAGCGCAGGCGGCAUGGCAAGUCUGAUGUGAAAACCCGGGGCCCAACCCCGGGAGUGCAUUGGAAACUGCCAGGCUGGAGUGUCGGGGGGGG